GUGUCAGCAGCCGCGGUAAUACGUAGGGUGCAAGCGUUAAUCGGAAUUACUGGGCGUAAAGCGUGCGCAGGCGGUGAUGUAAGACAGUUGUGAAAUCCCCGGGCUCAACCUGGGAACUGCAUCUGUGACUGCAUCGCUGGAGUGCGGCAGAGGGGGAUGGAAUUCCGCGUGUAGCAGUGAAAUGCGUAGAUAUGCGGAGGAACACCGAUGGCGAAGGCAAUCCCCUGGGCCUGCACUGACGCUCAUGCACGAAAGCGUGGGGAGCAAACAGGAUUAGAAACCCCCGUAGUCC
rnacentral:rRNA from 1 species